AGAUUGAACGCUGGCGGCAGGCCUAACACAUGCAAGUCGAGCGGUAGAGAGAAGCUUGCUUCUCUUGAGAGCGGCGGACGGGUGAGUAAUGCCUAGGAAUCUGCCUGGUAGUGGGGGAUAACGUUCGGAAACGGACGCUAAUACCGCAUACGUCCUACGGGAGAAAGCAGGGGACCUUCGGGCCUUGCGCUAUCAGAUGAGCCUAGGUCGGAUUAGCUAGUUGGUGAGGUAAUGGCUCACCAAGGCGACGAUCCGUAACUGGUCUGAGAGGAUGAUCAGUCACACUGGAACUGAGACACGGUCCAGACUCCUACGGGAGGCAGCAGUGGGGAAUAUUGGACAAUGGGCGAAAGCCUGAUCCAGCCAUGCCGCGUGUGUGAAGAAGGUCUUCGGAUUGUAAAGCACUUUAAGUUGGGAGGAAGGGCAGUUACCUAAUACGUGAUUGUUUUGACGUUACCGACAGAAUAAGCACCGGCUAACUCUGUGCCAGCAGCCGCGGUAAUACAGAGGGUGCAAGCGUUAAUCGGAAUUACUGGGCGUAAAGCGCGCGUAGGUGGUUAGUUAAGUUGGAUGUGAAAUCCCCGGGCUCAACCUGGGAACUGCAUUCAAAACUGACUGACUAGAGUAUGGUAGAGGGUGGUGGAAUUUCCUGUGUAGCGGUGAAAUGCGUAGAUAUAGGAAGGAACACCCCAGUGGCGAAGGCGACCCCCCUGGA
rnacentral:rRNA from 1 species